rnacentral:rRNA from 1 species
UACAGAGGUCUCAAGCGUUUGUUCGGAUUCAUUGGGCGUAAAGGGUGCGUAGGCGGCGCGGUAAGUCGGGUGUGAAAUCUCGGAGCUUAACUCCGAAACUGCAUUCGAUACUGCCGUGCUCGAGGACUGGAGAGGAGACUGGAAUUUACGGUGUAGCGGUGAAAUUCGUAGAUAUCGGGAGGAACACCGGUGGCGAAGGCGGCGACCUGGGUCGAGACUGACGCUGAGGCGCGAAAGCCAGGGGAGCGAACGGG